rnacentral:lncRNA from 10 species
UUUAAGAUCACUUAAAAAUUUGAGAAUGAAAUUGAUUCACAUUGUGACAUAUCCAUAGCAAACUCGGGCUUUGGGCUGGCUUUCCCUCUUUGCUUAGUAUUUAUCUGUUCUGUCUUCUUUGCCCUGCUGGUGUGUGCUUAGAAAAAUGAACAAUCAUUUUAAUGUUAUAUUCAGCAGAACAAAUUGGCAGUGAACACACUGUAAAGUUAGUAUGCUUUUCAGGUUGACAUUGCAGUGGUAUAACCCUACAAAAGUAGAUAACAGGGUUAAACAAAAAUUGAUUUUAGCUCUUUAUUUGUACGUUUUUUCUUCAGCUUGGAUUUUCAGUGUUGAUGCUGCAUGUUAUAGGCUGUGAAGUUUGACAAUACCCAAAAGAGAAUGAAAGUGGAAAUGAGAGGAAUUUGGUAACACGGUGUUUUUAAUGUGAACUUUUUGUUUAAAGCAAAUGCAGCCCUGAGGAUUUGGCUACUGCAUAUAACAACAGGGGGCAAAUCAAGUACUUCAGGGUUGAUUUUUAUGAAGCCAUGGAUGACUACACAUCUGCCAUAGAAGUCCAACCCAAUUUUGAAGUUCCAUAUUACAACAGAGGGUUGAUACUGUAUAGGCUGGGAUAUUUUGAUGAUGCUUUGGAAGAUUUCAAGAAGGUCUUAGACUUAAAUCCUGGAUUUCAAGAUGCUACUUUGAGCUUAAAACAGACUAUUCUAGACAAA